rnacentral:rRNA from 1 species
GCCCUUUUCCGGUUGAUCCUGCCGGAGGUUACCGCUCUGGGAGUUGGAUUAAGCCAUGCUAGCGGAGGGCAGUUCGGCUGCCCCGCGGAUAGCUCAGUAACACGUGGUCAAUUUAUCCUUAGGAUGAGGAUAACCCCGGGAAACUGGGGAUAAUACUCAAUAGACGGGGGAUCUGGAAAUGUCCCUCGUUGAAAUGUUCCGACGCCUAAGGAUAAGACUGCGGCCUAUUAGGUAGUUGGUGAGGUAAAGGCUCACC